rnacentral:tRNA from 1 species
GGCUGGGUAGCUCAAUUGGUAGAGCGUGGGACUCAUAAGCCCGAGGUAGUGGGUUCGAAACCCACCCCAGCCA